CAGCCGCCACGGUAAUACAGAGGGUGCAAGCGUUAAUCGGAAUUACUGGGCGUAAAGCGCGCGUAGGUGGUUUGUUAAGUUGGAUGUGAAAGCCCCGGGCUCAACCUGGGAACUGCAUCCAAAACUGGCAAGCUAGAGUACGGUAGAGGGUGGUGGAAUUUCCUGUGUAGCGGUGAAAUGCGUAGAUAUAGGAAGGAACACCAGUGGCGAAGGCGACCACCUGGACUGAUACUGACACUGAGGUGCGAAAGCGUGGGGAGCAAACAGGAUUAGAUACCCGCGUAGUCCCUGUCUCUUAUAC
rnacentral:rRNA from 1 species